GCCCGCCUAGCUCAAUCGGAUAGAGCGUCAGACUCUUAGUCUGUCUCAGGCGGGUUAAUCUGAAGGCUGUGGGUUCGACCCCCACGGUGGGCU
rfam:Stereum hirsutum FP-91666 SS1 unplaced genomic scaffold STEHIscaffold_16, whole genome shotgun sequence.